AUUCAGAUCCAGAGGAAUGAGGUGUGGCUACUGUAAAACAGAGGGUAGACUGAACUGUGAGUAGCAGAAUGGAAUCACUGCUGGAGAGGAAAAUACUGUCUGUAAGUGGCUCUUACAAAUUCAUCCUUUUCACAUUCAUAAGCUUGAUAAAGAGCCUUACAAGAUAAACGUGGAUUUAAUAGAUUUUUCAGGAAGGGAUGUUGAGGGUGGCUGAUCAAGGUGAGACCUACUGUUCUUCCUGGAAGAUGGAACCGCUGCCCUCCAGAGGGAUUCGGCUCUGGUUGGAACAAUGCAGGAUUUUUAGCUCUUUACACCUAGCCUGCAGUUACCAUGGGGUCCAGCAAUUCCACUCAGCCCGAACUUUAAUAGAUGUUUGUGUUCACAGGAGCACCACACCGAGCUGAAAGCUCAACAAACAAAAGCCGUACAGAUAGAAGGCAACCAAUUAAUGUGAGCCUGGCUCUCUGAAGAUCCUCGGGAGAGGUCUUCCUGAACAGAACACCAACAGCACAGGCUCUAAGAGCAACAAUCAAUAAAUGGGACCUCAUGAAAUUGAAAAGCUUCUGUAAAGCAAAGGACACCGUCAUCAAAACAAAGCGACUGCCUACAGAUUGGGAAAGAAUCAUCACCAACCCUUUAUCUGACAAAGGGCUAAUAUCCAGUAUAUAUAAAGAACUAAAGAAGCUGAAAAGCAGCAAACCAAGUAAUCCACUUAAAAAAUGGGGAACAGAACUAAACAGAGAAUU